rnacentral:tRNA from 1 species
GCGGGUGUAGUUCAGUGGUAGAAUGUUUCCUUCCCAAGGAAAAGGUCGUGGGUUCGAACCCCAUCACCCGCU